AGCCUAAAGUCUGUGUUAGUGACGAAGAAGCGUAAUGGCGUCAUCACCCUCGUGAUUGUGACGCAGAGGCACAAUGGCGGCGUCCGCUCUCAGAAUGCUGCGCCAGGUGAGUCGCUCGCGUGCAGCUGUGAGACUCUUGUGUUCACACGCACACGGAUGUGAGAGCGCCGCAGGUUUUCCUCCACUGCAGAGCUGCUCACAGGAGGAGGCCAUGAUGAGAGACGCAGUGAAGAAAUUCUCUCAGGAGCGCAUCGCACCGCUCGUGUCCAAGAUGGAUGAAAACUCGGCGAUGGACGCAGAAGUGAUCAGCUCUCUGUUUGAGCAGGGCUUGAUGGGCAUCGAGAUCGGAACAGGAUACGGCGGCACGGGUUCCACCUUCUUCUCGUCCAUGCUGGUGAUCGAGGAGCUGGCGAAGGUGGACCCGUCUGUGGCCGUGCUGUGUGACAUUCAGAACACGCUCAUAAACACCCUGCUGGCAGACCUGGGCACCGAGGAGCAGAAGGAGCGAUAUCUCCCUCGACUCGCCAACGACACGGUGGGCAGCUUUUGCUUGUCAGAGGCAGAGUCAGGCAGUGACGCUUUCUCUCUGAAGACUAAAGCAGAGAAACAGAAAGACUAUUACAUCAUCAACGGUUCCAAGAUGUGGAUCAGUAACGCAGAACAUGCCGGAGUGUUCUUGGUCAUGGCCAACGCAGACACCGCUGCCGGUUACAGAGGCAUCAGCUGUUUCAUAGUGGACAGAGAAACAGAUGGACUUCACAUCGGCAAGAAAGAAAAUAAAUUGGGUCUGCGAGCUUCAUCCACGUGUGCUCUUAAUUUCGACAAUGUGAAGGUUCACGAGAAGAAUGUUUUGGGAAAGAUCGGUCACGGUUAUAAAUAUGCCAUCGGAAUGCUGAAUGGUGGCAGGAUCGGUAUCGCAGCACAGAUGCUCGGUCUGGCUCAAGGGUGUUUUGAUCACACGGUCACAUACACCAGGCAGCGUGUUCAAUUCGGCAAACGGAUCUUUGACUUCCAGGGGAUGCAGCAUCAGAUCGCUCAUGUGGCCACUCAGCUGGAAGCCGCUCGGCUGUUGACCUAUAACGCGGCUCGGCUGAAGGAGGCGGGACGUCCGUUCAUCAAAGAGGCCUGCAUGGCCAAAUACUUCACCUCUGAGGUGGCCACACUCACUACAUCAAAAUGCAUCGAGUGGAUGGGUGGGGUGGGUUUUACUAAAGAUUAUCCCAUCGAGAAAUAUUACAGAGAUUGUAAAAUAGGAACCAUUUAUGAGGGAACAACAAACAUUCAGCUGAGCACAAUGGCCAAGUUGAUCGAUCGAGAGUUCGACUCCUAAAUUCACCAUCGACCCACAGUGUGUGAAAUACUGUUCCUCAAACAACACUGUUCUUGCUCUCUCACCUCACAUUCUGGAUGUUUCUGCAGAUCAUCUGUUUAGUCGGUUGAGAUCUGUUACAAAUACGCCACAAUAACAGUAAUAAUGUUGUAGCAGCAGGUGUCAGUAGAGCUCCAGUCAUCUCAACAGCUUCUGGAAGUUUCGGUUUGAUCAAGUCAAAGACCAAACACACUGUUCAGGAAUAAUGCUGCUGAAUAUGAGGUUCAUGAGACAUUGACAUAAUAUAAGUGCAUAUAAUACUGUAGCAUAGUAGAAAUAUGAUGGAAGUCAAAUCACCCUUUACAAUUAUUAUUAUUCAUAUAUCAUCAUCCUCUCUCUUAAUGUCAGUGUAUGUACAUCAUUGGGAUGACGAAUAUACAGUCAUGUUUGUUACUAAUGUAUGAGCAGAAAUUAUUAUUACAUUAUUUACAUGGUAUUUUCUCUGUGCUGUUUCUAAAUAUUCAAAAUAAAGGAACAACAUGUAGUGUCAAGGUGAGAUAUUU